rnacentral:rRNA from 1 species
UACAGAGGUCUCAAGCGUUGUUCGGAUUCAUUGGGCGUAAAGGGUGCGUAGGUGGCGCCGUAAGUCAGGUGUGAAAUUUCGGAGCUUAACUCCGAAACUGCAUUUGAUACUGCGGUGCUUGAGGACUGGAGAGGAGACUGGAAUUCACGGUGUAGCAGUGAAAUGCGUAGAGAUCGUGAGGAAGACCAGUGGCGAAGGCGGGUCUCUGGACAGUUCCUGGACACUGAGGCACGAAGGCCAGGGGAGCAAACGGG